rnacentral:ncRNA from 1 species
CGAACGGGAGAGACCGGGUUCCAAGUCCCGGCACCGAAGGAGCAAGCCGCCGAACCGCCGUGUCGGGGAGGAAUCUCUCAGGUAGAAGCACCGU